GCCCUGGUGGCACAACAAUUAAGCACUUGGCUGCUAACCAAAGGCUGCUGGUUCAAACCCACCCCGUGGCU
rnacentral:tRNA from 1 species